rnacentral:rRNA from 1 species
GACGAACGCUGGCGGCGUGCUUAACACAUGCAAGUCGAACGCUGAAGCUUGGUGCUUGCACUGGGUGGAUGAGUGGCGAACGGGUGAGUAUCACGUGAGUAACCUGCCCCUGACUUCGGGAUAAGCCUGGGAAACUGGGUCUAAUACCGGAUAUGACCAUCUUUCGCAUGUUGGGUGGUGGAAAGUUUUUCGGUUGGGGAUGGGCUCGCGGCCUAUCAGUUUGUUGGUAGGGUAAUGGCCUACCAAGACGACGACGGGUAGCCGGCCUGAGAGGGCGACCGGCCACACUGGGACUGAGACACGGCCCAGACUCCUACGGGAGGCAGCAGUGGGGAAUAUUGCACAAUGGGGGAAACCCUGAUGCAGCGACGCCGCGUGGGGGAUGACGGCCUUCGGGUUGUAAACCUCUUUCAGUAGGGAAGAAGCCUUUGGGUGACGGUACCUGCAGAAGAAGUACCGGCUAACUACGUGCCAGCAGCCGCGGUAAUACGUAGGGUACAAGCGUUGUCCGGAAUUAUUGGGCGUAAAGAGCUCGUAGGUGGUUUGUCGCGUCUGCUGUGGAAUCGUGCCGCUUAACGGUGCGCGUGCAGUGGGUACGGGCAGACUGGAGUGCAGUAGGGGAGUCUGGAAUUCCUGGUGUAGCGGUGAAAUGCGCAGAUAUCAGGAGGAACACCGGUGGCGAAGGCGGGACUCUGGGCUGUUACUGACGCUGAGGAGCGAAAGCAUGGGGAGCGAACAGG